rnacentral:rRNA from 1 species
GAUGAACGCUAGCGGCAGGCUUAACACAUGCAAGUCGAGGGGUAUAGUUCUUCGGAAUUAGAGACCGGCGCACGGGUGCGUAACGCGUAUGCAAUCUACCUUUCACAGAGGGAUAGCCCCAGAGAAAUUUGGAUUAAUACCUCAUAGUAUAGCAGUUUCGCAUGAAACCACUAUUAAAGUCACAACGGCAAAGAUGAGCAUGCGUCCCAUUAGCUAGUUGGUAAGGUAACGGCUUACCAAGGCUACGAUGGGUAGGGGUCCUGAGAGGGAGAUCCCCCCACACUGGUACUGAGACACGGACCAGACUCCUACGGGAGGCAGCAGUGAGGAAUAUUGGACAAUGGGCGCAAGCCUGAUCCAGCCAUGCCGCGUGCAGGAUGACGGUCCUAUGGAUUGUAAACUGCUUUGUACAGGAAGAAACACUACUUCGUGAAGUAGCUUGACGGUACUGUAAGAAUAAGGAUCGGCUAACUCCGUGCCAGCAGCCG